GACGAACGCUGGCGGCGUGCUUAACGCAUGCAAGUCGAACGGUAAGGCCCUUCGGGGUACACGAGUGGCGAACGGGUGAGUAACACGUGGGUGAUCUGCCCUGCACUUCGGGAUAAGCCUGGGAAACUGGGUCUAAUACCGGAUAGGACUCCUGGCUUCAUGGUUGGGGGUGGAAAGCUUUUGCGGUGUGGGAUGGGCCCGCGGCCUAUCAGCUUGUUGGUGGGGUAAUCGCCUACCAAGGCGACGACGGGUAGCCGGCCUGAGAGGGUGACCGGUCACACUGGGACUGAGAUACGGCCCAGACUCCUACGGGAGGCAGCAGUGGGGAAUAUUGCACAAUGGGCGCAAGCCUGAUGCAGCGACGCCGCGUGAGGGAUGACGGCCUUCGGGUUGUAAACCUCUUUCAGCUAUGACGAAGCGCAAGUGACGGUAGUAGCAGAAGAAGGACCGGCCAACUACGUGCCAGCCGCCGCGGUAA
rnacentral:rRNA from 1 species